GUGCUUUGGCAGCACACAUACUAAAAUUGGAACGAUGCAGAGAAUAUUAGCACGGCCCCUGUGCAAGGAUGACACGCAAAUUUGUGAAGUGUUCCAUAGUUUU
rnacentral:snRNA from 1 species